GAUGAACGCUGGCGGCGUGCCUAAUACAUGCAAGUCGAGCGAACAGACGAGGAGCUUGCUCCUUCGACGUUAGCGGCGGACGGGUGAGUAACACGUAGGUAACCUACCUAUAAGACUGGGAUAACUUCGGGAAACCGGAGCUAAUACCGGAUAAUAUUUCGAACCGCAUGGUUCGAUAGUGAAAGAUGGCUUUGCUAUCACUUAUAGAUGGACCUGCGCCGUAUUAGCUAGUUGGUAAGGUAACGGCUUACCAAGGCAACGAUACGUAGCCGACCUGAGAGGGUGAUCGGCCACACUGGAACUGAGACACGGUCCAGACUCCUACGGGAGGAAGCAGUAGGGAAUCUUCCGCAAUGGGGGAGAGCCUGACGGAGCAACGCCGCGUGAGUGAUGAAGGUGUUCGGAUCGUAAAACUCUGUUAUUAGGGAAGAACAAAAGUGUAAGUAACUGUGCACGUCCUGACGGUACCUAAUCAGAAAGCCACGGCUAACUACGUG
rnacentral:rRNA from 1 species